UGUGCCUUUGAGACAUGGCAGAUGUGGCUGCUGUGUCACAUGUGGGGUAGGUAGCAGAGAGGGGAGAGGCUAUGUCUAUGUUCAGUGUUCUGACCUAUGAACAUCUGAAAGAUUAGUAGCCUAACAUU